UCCCAGAUCAGGUUCCUUGUUGAGGAGCAGAAUUAGCCCCUGAAUCUGGUGCACUUGUUACCUUCUGGUCCUGGGAGGAGGCGGAGAGCAGCGAGCCAGAAAGAACAUAGGACACUACACAGCCUGCAGCAGCCAACCAACUAGCCGGUCGACCGGUCAGUCAGGCCACAGUUUCUCUUCAUGGUCACGGGAUCGCAGAGGAUCGUAUUCAGCGCAGCAAACAUAUUUCAAAGUGUGACGACACCGUUAUAGUUCUUUUUGGAGGGCGCUGGUCGGCACGGUAACCCGCAGAAGGUCGUGGUCUUCAAUGUGGAGCUCAGAUUGAGGCUGCAGCAGAGAGCGAGGCGACGCGUCUACCUGGAGGACCGCAGCGGCCCCCCCGCUCCCACAAACACCUGCAGCGCUGCCAGGAGACACCAGCUGA